rnacentral:rRNA from 1 species
AGUGAACGCUGGCGGUAGGCCUAACACAUGCAAGUCGAACGGCAGCACAGGAGAGCUUGCUCUCUGGGUGGCGAGUGGCGGACGGGUGAGGAAUACAUCGGGAUCUACUCUGUCGUGGGGGAUAACGUAGGGAAACUUACGCUAAUACCGCAUACGACCUACGGGUGAAAGCAGGGGACCUUCGGGCCUUGCGCGAUUGAAUGAGCCGAUGUCGGAUUAGCUAGUUGGCGGGGUAAAGGCCCACCAAGGCGACGAUCCGUAGCUGGUCUGAGAGGAUGAACAGCCACACUGGAAAUGAGACACGGCAGAGACUCCGACGUGAGGCAGCAGUGGGGAAUAUUGGAAAAUGGGCGCAAGCCUGAUCCAGCCAUACCGCGUGGGUGAAGAAGGCCUUCGGGUUGUAAAGCCCUUUUGUUGGGAAAGAAAUCCAGCUGGCUAAUACCCGGUUGGGAUGACGGUACCCAAAGAAUAAGCACCGGCUAACUUCGUGCCAGCCGCCGCCGUAA